rnacentral:rRNA from 1 species
ACCACCUAGUAUCGUUUUAAUCGAUGGGGGGACGCAGUAGGAUAGGCGAAGCGUGCUGUUGGAGUGCACGUCCAAGCAGUAAGGCUGAGUGUUAGGCAAAUCCGGCACUCAUAAGGCUGAGUUGUGAUGGGGAGAGGAAAUUGUUUCCUCGAGUCGUUGAUUUCACACUGCCGAGAAAAGCCUCUAGAUAGAUAACAGGUGCCCGUACCGCAAACCGACACAGGUAGUCAAGAUGAGAAUUCUAAGGUGAGCGAGCGAACUCUCGUUAAGGAACUCGGCAAAAUGACCCCGUAACUUCGGGAGAAGGGGUGCUCUUUAGGGUUCACGCCCAGAAGAGCCGCAGUGAAUAGGCCCAAGCGACUGUUUAUCAAAAACACAGGUCUCUGCUAAACCGUAAGGUGAUGUAUAGGGGCUGACGCCUGCCCGGUGCUGGAAGGUUAAGAGGAGUGGUUAGCUUCUGCGAAGCUACGAAUCGAAGCCCCAGUAAACGGCGGCCGUAACUAUAACGGUCCUAAGGUAGCGAAAUUCCUU